UUAGCUGACCUUGGCUGAUCUCAAAGAGCUAAGUAGAGUUGGAUCCUGCUAGUACUUGGAUGAGAGACCAGCAGAGAAUCCCGGGUUGUAGGCUGAA
rnacentral:rRNA from 1 species